GACGAACGCUGGCGGCGUGCUUAACACAUGCAAGUCGAACGGAAAGGCCUCUUUCGGGGGGUACUCGAGUGGCGAACGGGUGAGUAACACGUGAGUAACCUGCCCUUGACUUUGGGAUAACUUCCGGAAACUGGGGCUAAUACCGGCUAGGUGCUCCUGCUGCCUGGUGGGGGUUGGAAAGUUUCGGCGGUUGGGGAUGGACUCGCGGCUUAUCAGCUUUCUGGUGGGGUAGUGGCUUACCAAGGCUUUGACGGGUAGCCGGCCUGAGAGGGUGACCGGCCACAUUGGGACUGAGAGACGGCCCAGACUCCUACGGGACGCAGCAGUGGGGAAUAUUGCACAAUGGGUGGAAGCCUGAUGCAGCAGCGCCGUGUGCGGGAUGACGGCCUUCGGGUUGUAAACCGCAUUCGCUCAUGACGGAGCUUUGUGUGACGGUAGUGGGUAAAGAAGCACCGGCUAACUACGUG
rnacentral:rRNA from 1 species